AGGCGUGAGGGUGAUCAGGCUGGCUAGGCUGGUGACCCCCUCCUCCCUCACAGCUCUGUGUGUCUCUAUGGAAACUGCAUGUUUGGUCAAAGAGGAUGGCCUUCCCUAAAGAAGAAAUGGUCUUUGGUCAAGGACACACAAGUAGCUAUGACCCCCUGCUAGGACCUCCAAACAAACUCUCAGGAGGUAAACUUGUACACUUUUGGCACAGAUAAAGCCAGGGUUAACCGUGAUCUCCACCCGCUGUUGUUUGGACCUGUGC
rnacentral:snRNA from 1 species